rnacentral:rRNA from 1 species
CGUAGGGUGCGAGCGUUAAUCGGAAUUACUGGGCGUAAAGCGUGCGCAGGCGGUUUUGUAAGACAGGCGUGAAAUCCCCGGGCUCAACCUGGGAACUGCGCUUGUGACUGCAAGGCUAGAGUACGGCAGAGGGGGGUGGAAUUCCACGUGUAGCAGUGAAAUGCGUAGAGAUGUGGAGGAACACCAAUGGCGAAGGCAGCCCCCUGGGUCGAUACUGACGCUCAUGCACGAAAGCGUGGGUAGCAAACAGGAUUAGAUACCCUGGUAGUCCACGCCCUAAACGAUGUCAACUAGGUGUUGGGUGGGUAAAACCAUUUAGUACCGGAGCUAACGCGUGAAGUUGACCGCCUGGGAGUACGGCCGCAAGGUU